GAGAAGUUGCCAACUUCCUGAUGGGUUAUUUUUGAAGCUGUGUUGGAGGCACGCUUCCUAUUUGACUUAAGAAAAGAGAAGCAGGCAGACCAGAGGAGACCGACUUGGGAGAAAGGUGGACUCUUCAAUCUGUAGGCUUCUCAACACCAGGAAUUUGGCGAUACGUGUCAGAGCAUAAUCGCCCCUUCAAAAGCCAACAUGCAGACUUUGGAAAGGUUAAAGAAGAAAGUGGUUCCAGAUUCCCAGCAUGCAAAUGUUCUUCUCCUGCAGCACUGGCACGCAAAACUUAUCUCGCUUCACAGGAACCCAAACUCCCAGGAUUGAUGCGCUGCCAUUCACCCAAGGGUGCCUGAAGGGAUAAUGGGAUGUGUGUGUGUGUGUGUUUCUACCACUGGAGACCUCCAGCAUCUCACACUGACUUGAUGGAGGGUUCACAUUUCACACUUAAUUACUAGCUCAGCAAUCACACCUCCCGAGAUGGAGAUCGAUGUGUUUCUCUGUUUAGUCCUCUGCAGCUGUUAACUGUUUAUUUACUUAACGUUAGCUUGGGAACGGCUGCAAUUUGAAGGUUCAGAUCUCUUCUACCCCGUACCAUGCCAGGCCUUUGCGUUAAACACUUCCAUAUUGCUUCUAUGGAAUCCCCCCCCCCCCCCCAAAAAAAAAUACCCCCUUCACCUGCCUCUUUUGUGCUAAUUUCUGUGGAGGAACAAGUGUGAACUUUUGCCAGAGUCUGGUGAGUUUUAAGUAUUCUGGAUUGUUAGAACAAUUGUUUUCUUUUUCUUUAGAGAAAUUUUUAACAAGCUAAAAGUAACACUUGAGAGAGAUGACUGAUAAAUUCUGGGUGCUUUUUCUUUUAAAAGAAAAAUAUAUGGCACAAUUGCCUGGCCUCAAAGGAGGUGCCUGAGCCAACCGCCAAAUGGUCUUGUUAUGUGAUCACAUGGUGACCAAAUGGUGGGGACUUUCUUGGGAUGAUCAGGAUAUAUUCUGAGCCCAAAACUCUCUUAUUGUCAAAGCAGCGGCCACACUUAUAUACUUGACAUAAAUUCUGCCGGACGUUGGUCUCACUUGACAGAGCGCUGUACCAGGCUAGUGCCAGAGUCAUAGAGUCAUAGAACCGUAGAGUUGGAAGAGACCCUCAAGGGCCAUCAAGUCCAACCCCUUGCAAUGCAGGAACACACAAUCAAAGCACUCCUGACAGAGUCAAAAGGGUUUUGGCUCUGGUUGAGGACAGCUGGAUAACCUUUGACUGCUGCCCUUAAUACAGUUUUUUUCCAGUUGCUCCCCAACAGUUGAUUCAACUGGUUCUGGGCCUGGACUCAAACGAAGUCUUGGAAUCCUGACUUCCUUCUGACCCGGAGCCUUCUUUUCAGUUUCUCCACGUCUGACUUUGUUGGCUUCUCAAGCAAACAAUUCCAAAUAUUAUUAGUAAGGAGCCAGCCAUGGGUGGGAAUUCAAGGAACAAAAAAGGGAUGGGGUGGCUCAAAAUGAAUUUUCCAUGAGAACUUACCCUCCCUUCUCUGCAAUGAGACACUCGACUCAUUUUAUUGCGUUCCUCUGACUUGUUUUAUUUUCUCUAGUUUUACCUUGUGUAGCUGUGACGAUAACAAGGGUGUUCGGUAAUUAAAGACGAGUAUGGCAUAAAA